CCCUUAGAUGUUCUGGGCUGCACGCGUGCUACAAUGGCGUUUCCAGCAAGUCUGCGAACCCGAGAGGGCCAGCGGAUCUUCGAAUUGGCGUCGUGAUCGGGACAGUCGAUUGCAAUUAUUUGACUCAAACGAGGAAUUCCUUGUAAUCGCGAUUCAUCAUAUCGCGCUGAAUACGUCCCUGCCCUUUGUACACACCGCCCGUCGCUCCUACCGAUUGAAUGUUCCGGUGAGCUCUUCGGACUGCGCGGUCUGCAGUUUCUGCGUUCCGUGCGGAAAGUUGCGCAAACCUUAACAUUUAGAGGAAGGAGAAGUCGUAACA
rnacentral:rRNA from 1 species